AUGAAGCCAGCAUGUGAGGAUGCUGGGCAAGAAAAUAGAAGGAAUGUGGAUCUCAAGACUGAAGAAAAGCAGGCCUCCUUGGUGCAAGAACGGUUUGAGGUGGACAUCAAGGAGCUGCAUGAGCAGAUUGACACUUCAACAUACAGCAAAAAUGAAAAUGAUUUUACUUGUGCUAGAAUUGGAUGGAUGAAUGUCGGAGUUGAAACAGACCCACAAGACAGAACUCAGCUCCAGAUUAGUCCUUCCGGAGCUGAGUUAUUUUACAUCAGUUUACCUCCUUUUAGCAGCUGUCAUUAUUCCUGGUACUGCUUUUGA
rnacentral:rRNA from 1 species